UACGUAGGUGGCAAGCGUUAUCCGGAUUUAUUGGGUGUAAAGGGCGUGUAGGCGGGAGCGCAAGUCAGAUGUAAAAACUCAGGGCUCAACCCUGAGCCUGCAUUUGAAACUGUGUUUCUUGAGUGCUGGAGAGGCAAUCGGAAUCCCGUGUGUAGCGGUGAAAUGCGUAGAUAUACGGAGGAACACCAGUGGCGAAGGCGGAUUGCUGGACAGUAACUGACGCUGAGGCGCGAAAGCGUGGGGAGCAAACAGG
rnacentral:rRNA from 1 species